AACGAACGCUGGCGGCAUGCCUAACACAUGCAAGUCGAACGAGACCUUCGGGUCUAGUGGCGCACGGGUGCGUAACGCGUGGGAACCUGCCCUUAGGUUCGGAAUAACUCCCCGAAAGGGGUGCUAAUACCGGAUAAUGUCUUCGGACCAAAGAUUUAUCGCCUUUGGAUGGGCCCGCGUUGGAUUACCUAGUUGGUAGGGUAAAAGCCUACCAAUGCUACGAUCCAUAGCUGGUCUGAGAGGAUGAUCAGCCACACUGGGACUGAGACACGGCCCAGACUCCUACGGGAGGCAGCAGUGGGGAAUAUUGGAAAAUGGGCGAAAGCAUGAUCCAGCAAUGACGCGUGAGUGAUGAAGGCCUUAGGGUUGUAAAGCUCUUUUACACGGGAUGAUAAUGACAGUACCGGGAGAAUAAGCACCGGCUAACUCCGUG
rnacentral:rRNA from 1 species